CCUCAAGGUCAGAUGCAGAUUCAAACACUCACCGGCAAGGUUGCAAACCGCUAACACAAGCGCAGAGCUUGAUUAAAGCGAAAGAUAACUGCUAUUUCACAGUCAGGUGCUUUGACGACACUGUUCACCAUUUCAAAGUGUCACAGAAGAACGACCCCGAAUCCACCAGAAAAAGGUGGCUGGAGGCCAUAGAGGAGCAUUCAGCCUUUAGCACUCAUUACUGCUCACAGGACCCAGACAGCGAGGAAGAGGAAGACAACGUUGUGUCUGUACAUGAGAUUUCUGACUCCCUUCAGGUGAGAAAUCAC